UGGUCAAGUUAUUAAGGGUGCAGGGCGGAUGCCUUGGCACUAGGAGCCGAUGAAGGACGUGAUAAGCUGCGAUAAGCUUCGGGGAGUUGCACGUAAACUUUGAUCCGAAGAUUUCCGAAUGAGGAAACUCACUUAGAGUAAUGUCUAAGUAUCAUUAAGUGAAUACAUAGCUUAAUGAGGGGAACUCAGGGAACUGAAACAUCUAAGUACCUGAAGGAAGAGAAAGAAAUUCGAUUCCGUAAGUAGCGGCGAGCGAACGCGGAUUAGCCCAAACCAAUAAAGUUUUCUUUAUUGGGGUUGCGGACAUAUCAUAACGAAGAGGUAUCGUAAUUGAAGAGGUUUGGAAAGACCCACCACAGAAGGUAAUAGUCCUGUAUGUUAAACGAGAAGACUUUAGAUAUGAUCCAGAGUACCACGGGACACGUGAAACCCUGUGGGAAGCAGGAGGGACCACCCUCCAAGGCUAAAUACUACCUAGUGACCGAUAGCGUAUAGUACCGUGAGGGAAAGGUGAAAAGAACCCCGGGAGGGGAGUGAAAUAGAACCUGAAACCCUGCACUUACAAGCUGUGGAAGCACAUUUCUUGUGUGACCGCGUACUUUUUGUAGAACGGGCCAACGAGUUACGUUAAGUAGCAAGGUUAAGCACUUAAGGUGCGGAGCCGUAGCGAAAGCGAGUUUUAACUGAGCGUUCAGUUACUUGACGUAGACCCGAAACCGGGCGACCUACCCAUGAGCAGGAUGAAGCGAAAGUAAAAUUUCGUGGAGGUCCGAACCCACGAGCGUUGAAAAGCUCGGGGAUGACUUGUGGGUAGCGGUGAAAUUCCAAUCGAGCCCGGAGAUAGCUGGUUCUCCCCGAAAUAGCUUUAGGGCUAGCCUCAAGGUGAGAGAUACGGAGGUAGAGCACUGAAUGUCCUAGGGGGUAUUGCACCUACCGAAGACUAUCAAACUCCGAAUGCCGUCAUCUUAUACUUGGGAGUCAGACUGUGGGUGAUAAGAUUCAUAGUCGAAAGGGCAACAGCCCAGAUCGUCAGCUAAGGUCCCUAAAUGUAAGUUAAGUGGUAAAGGAUGUGGGAUUGCACAGACAACCAGGAUGUUGGCUUAGAAGCAGCCACUCAUUCAAAGAGUGCGUAAUAGCUCACUGGUCGAGUGAUCCUGCGCCGAAGAUUUCCGGGGCUAAAACUUACUACCGAAGCUACGGCAUCAGUAAUGAUGGGUAGGGGAGCUUCCCAUACGGGUUGAAGCAUGACCGUAAGGACAUGUGGACAGUAUGGGAGUGAGAAUGUUGGCAUGAGUAGCGAGAUGUGGGUGAGAAUCCCACAGGCCGUAAACCCAAGGUUUCCAGGGGAAGGUUCGUCCGCCCUGGGUUAGUCGGGACCUAAGCUGAGGCCGAAAGGCGUAGGUGAUGGACAACAGGUUGAUAUUCCUGUACUACCGAUAACCGUUUGAGAGAAGGGAUGACACAGUAGGAUAAGCUAAGCACACUGUUGGUUAUGUGUGCCCAAGCAUUGAGGCAGUCAAAGUAGGCAAAUCCGCUUUGAUAAUGCUGGGAUGUGAUGGGGAGCGAAAUUUAGUAGCGAAGUAGCUGAUUUCACACUGUCAAGAAAAGUCUCUAUCGAGGUUAAAGGUACCCGUACCGCAAACCGACACAGGUGGGUGAGGAGAGUAUCCUAAGGCCAGCGAGAGAACUGUUGUUAAGGAACUCGGCAAAAUGACCCCGUAACUUAGGGAUAAGGGGUGCCACCAUCAGGUGGCCGCAGAGAAUAGGCCCAAGCGACUGUUUACCAAAAACAUAGGUUUCUGCUAAGUCGCAAGACGAUGUAUAGGAGCUGACGCCUGCCCGGUGCUGGAAGGUUAAGGGGAUCUGUUAGAGCAAUCGAAGCAGUGAACUUAAGCCCCAGUAAACGGCGGCCGUAACUAUAACGGUCCUAAGGUAGCGAAAUUCCUUGUCGGGUAAGUUCCGACCCGCACGAAAGGCGUAACGAUUUGGGCACUGUCUCAACAACAGACUCGGUGAAAUUGUAAUUCCGGUGAAGAUGCCGGAUACCUGCGACAGGACGGAAAGACCCCAUGGAGCUUUACUGUAGCUUGACAUUGGGUCUUGGUACUACAUGUACAGGAUAGGUGGGAGGCUUUGAAACCAGGACGCCAGUUUUGGCGGAGCCAUCCUUGGGAUACCACCCUUGUAGUACUGGGACUCUAACCAUAGGCCAUGAAUCUGGUCUUGGGACACUGUCAGGUGGGCAGUUUGACUGGGGCGGUCGCCUCCCAAAAGGUAACGGAGGCGCUCAAAGGUUCUCUCAGUACGGUCGGAAAUCGUACGUAGAGUGUAAAGGCAAAAGAGAGCUUGAUUGCAAGACAUACAGGUCGAGCAAGGAUGAAAAUCGGACUUAGUGAUCCGGUGGUUCUGCGUGGAAGGGCCAUCGCUCAACGGAUAAAAGCUACCCUGGGGAUAACAGGCUUAUCUCCCCCAAGAGUCCACAUCGACGGGGAGGUUUGGCACCUCGAUGUCGGCUCAUCACAUCCUGGGGCUGUAGUAGGUCCCAAGGGUUGGGCUGUUCGCCCAUUAAAGUGGUACGCGAGCUGGGUUCAGAACGUCGUGAGACAGUUCGGUCCCUAUCCGUCGCAGGCGUAGGAAAUUUGAGAAGACCUGUCCUUAGUACGAGAGGACCGGGAUGGACGUACCUCUGGUGUACCAGUUGUUCUGCCAAGGGCAUGGCUGGGUAGCUGUGUACGGAAUGGAUAAGCGCUGAAAGCAUCUAAGCGCGAAGCCAACUUCAAGAUAAGAUUUCCCACCGCAAGGGUAAGACCCCAGAAAGACUAUCUGGUUGAUAGGUCGAAGGUGUAAGUGCAGCAAUGUAUUUAGCUUAUCGAUACUAAUAGGUCGAGGACUUGACCAAU
rnacentral:rRNA from 1 species